rnacentral:rRNA from 1 species
UACGUAGGGUGCAAGCGGUGUCCGGAAUUAUUGGGCGUAAAGAGCUCGUAGGCGGUCUGUCGCGUCUGCUGUGAAAACUCGGGGCUUAACCCCGGGCCUGCAGUGGGUACGGGCAGACUAGAGUGCGGUAGGGGAGACUGGAAUUCCUGGUGUAGCGGUGAAAUGCGCAGAUAUCAGGAGGAACACCGGUGGCGAAGGCGGGUCUCUGGGCCGUAACUGACGCUGAGGAGCGAAAGCGUGGGGAGCGAACAGG